UCAGAACGUCGUGAGACAGUUCGGUCCCUAUCUGUUGUGGGCGUCGGAGAUCUGAGGGAAGCUGUCCUCAGUACGAGAGGACCGGGAUGGACCUGCCGCUGGUGCACCAGUUAUCAUGCCAAUGGUAUAGCUGGGUAGCCAAGCAGGGAACGGAUAAGAGCUGAAAGCAUCUAAGCACGAAGCCGGACCCAAGACGAGAUCUCCCAUUCUAAAAGAGAAGUAAGACCCCUUGAAGACUACGAGGUGGAUAGACCAGGGAUGGAAGUGCAGAGAUGCAUGGAGUUGACUGGCACUAAUCGGUCGAGGACUUGAUCUAAA
rnacentral:rRNA from 1 species